GAUGAACGCUGGCGGCGUGCCUAAUACAUGCAAGUCGAGCGAACGGACGAGAAGCUUGCUUCUCUGAUGUUAGCGGCGGACGGGUGAGUAACGCGUGGAUAACCUACCUAUAAGACUGGGAUAACUUCGGGAAACCGGAGCUAAUACCGGAUAAUAUUUUGAACCGCAUGGUUCAAAAGUGAAAGACGGUCUUGCUGUCACUUAUAGAUGGAUCCGCGCUGCAUUAGCUAGUUGGUAAGGUAACGGCUUACCAAGGCAACGAUGCAUAGCCGACCUGAGAGGGUGAUCGGCCACACUGGAACUGAGACACGGUCCAGACUCCUACGGGAGGCGGCAGUAGGGAAUCUUCCGCAAUGGGCGAAAGCCUGACGGAGCAACGCCGCGUGAGUGAUGAAGGUCUUCGGAUCGUAAAACUCUGUUAUUAGGGAAGAACAUAUGUGUAAGUAACUGUGCACAUCUUGACGGUACCUAAUCAGAAAGCCACGGCUAACUACGUG
rnacentral:rRNA from 1 species